UCAAUCUUCAUUCUUUUCCUACAAGUUCGUAUUUUUCGUUAGUUUGGUGAUUUUGCACCAGGGCCAGGAAAAAGAAUUUCACGAACUUGAUCUAGUAUUGCCCAUUGACAAUAUUUUAUUCUAACAUCUUUCAUUUGAGAUGGAAUUUUAGAUCAGAUACAUCCGAACCAUGUGCUUUUCAUCGUGUUAUUUUUGCUUUCAAAUCGCCGGUCGUGUAUCGUUCGUGGUUGUGUUUUUCCAUAAUUUUUCAAUAGUUGAUGCACUUGAUUGAAUUGAAACGUUCUUCGAAAUUAUCCGUGUAAAGUUUUAUCAGUAAGUAAUGUUUUCUAGCGGGUACACACUGUUGAAUUUGAAUAUUUCAGACUUGAGGGUUGCAUUAUACGAAAUGACUUCUUGUCAAGUGCUAUGUACUGUACUCGUACACUGCAAAGAGGUACAUAGAUAUCUAUGCUGUAUCGGAGCAAAAACAAAAAUGAAGUAGGUAUCUAAAUCGUAGCAAUCAAUGGAAAUCAUAAGUCCAUUACCAGGUACUCGAUGUAUAAGUACGCAGCGUAUUAGUAGUACCCAAAGGAUAUGCUUGAAAAUGCGAUCGAAUGUUGGAACGUUCUCCCUUGUUCGCGAGGAAAUCGUGAGUAAGAGAAUACGAAAUCAAUACAAUAUGGUGUGCUUAAAUCUAUCUUCGUGAGAUAUUCGUAUGUAUUAUGGUGAAGAAAUUUCAUCUGAACUGAAUAGAACAUUUUACAGCAUUCCAAUUUAUUGAAGCUGUUUUUUUGCAGAAAAUGAAAAUGAAGAAAAAAAUUGGAACCUUUGCAAACGACCUUGAUAUGGUACAUGAUACGACUCCAUUUAAUAAAGAAAACAAGAAGACAAAAUUGCAAAAAAACUUACUUUUUUCAAUUUGGCAGCGUCUACUAAAAACACCACACUCAAAAUAGG